AGCUUAUCUAUUUUAUUAUUAAUCUAACAAAAUCCCAUGAACCCCCACCCCCUACCGAACGAUCCCAUAAAAAUAUGGAAGACACCAUGCUGGAACUAGUAACAAGAAUUUAAAAUUCUCCAAAAUGCAAGCAUAAACCGGAACGGAUAAACCCCCGGCUAUUAACGUAAAUGAACUCAUUACAGCAACACAACAAGAAAAACCUGUUCAUUAAGACGUUAAUCUAACACCAGAGCAUUUAAGGAAAGAUUAAAAGAAAAAGAAGGAACUCGGCAAACUCCAACCCCGCCUGUUUACCAAAAACAUCGCCUCUUGCCAAAACAUAAGAGGUCCAGCCUGCCCAGUGACAAAUUUAACGGCCGCGGUAUCCUAACCGUGCGAAGGUAGCAUAAUCACUUGUUCUUUAAAUGGGGACUAGUAUCAACGGCAUCACGAGGGUUGCACUGUCUCCUUUUUCUAAUCAGUGAAACUGAUCUCCCCGUGAAGAAGCGGGGAUACAACAAUAAGACGAGAAGACCCCAUGGAGCUUUAAAUCUAACAGCAACUCUACCAUACAAUUCCCCACAACCACAGAGCUGUGCAUGUAGAUUUUAGGUUGGGGCGACCGCGGAGCAAAAAUUACCCUCCACGACGAAAAGAGCUAAACCCUUAUCCUAGAGAUACCCCUCCAAGAAUUAGUACACUAACGAACUAUGACCCGAUAAUCGAUUAACGGACCAAGUUACCCUGGGGAUAACAGCGCAAUCUACUUCGAGAGCCCAUAUCGACAGGUAGGCUUACGACCUCGAUGUUGGAUCAGGGUACCCAAAUGGUGCAGCCGCUAUUAAUGGUUCGU
rnacentral:rRNA from 1 species